rnacentral:rRNA from 1 species
CCUACGGGAGGCAGCAGUAGGGAAUCUUCCGCAAUGGACGAAAGUCUGACGGAGCAACGCCGCGUGAGUGAUGAAGGAAUUCGGAUGCAGAAGCUCUGUUGUUAGGGAAGAACAAGUGCCGUUCAAAUAGGGCGGCACCUUGACGGUACCUAACCAGAAAGCCACGGCUAACUACGUGCCAGCAGCCGCGGUAAU